AACGUAGGAGGCAAGCGUUAUCCGGAUUUACUGGGCGUAAAGGGCGUGCAGGUGGUUCUAUAAGUGGUGCGUGAAAGCGCCCGGCUCAACCGGGCGAGGCCGUGCCAAACUGUGGAACUAGAAACAGGCAGAGGAAAGUGGAAUUCGGGGUGUAGUGGUGAAAUGCGUAGAGAUCCCGAGGAACUCCAGUGGCGAAGGCGACUUUCUGGGCCUGCUUUGACACUCAGACGCGAAAGCAUGGGGAGCGAACGGGAUUAGAAACCCGUGUAGUCC
rnacentral:rRNA from 1 species